CAUAUCUGAACCGUAAAAUGAAUAUCACAUUCAGAAUCACGACCCACUGCAAUUGGCCUUAAGCAGUUUAGUGGGUAACAUCUCCCGUCUCGUUUUCAAUUGUAUUGUUAGGAGUCCUGUCGAGACCCUAGCUCUACUGCUCCAGUAGGACAACUCUCGAGAAAAAUGUACUCUGGGUCUUAACUGGAGUGUGCGGCGAAGGGUUACUCCCCCACAUAUCGCACAACCAUGUCCUAACCCCAACUCGUUAAACCCCCUCAGAUCCCUCUCCACCAGUCCCAUCAGACUACCACCCCAUCAGACCCCGAUAAUCUAGGUCAAUCCAAUCUGAUCCCUUAGAUAAACAGCCAAAACAGUGUACCGUAUUAUUCGUAUAAUCUAUUCAAAUUUAUUCACAGAUUCGUUUUUUUCAGGUGUUGAACGUGAUCAUGGAGUUCGGUAAUUUAUUUGUUUUCGUGACACUUAUUCAGGACUUUUUUUGGUAGAAUUGUUUACACCUGAUUUCCAUGAUAGUCCACCCUGGACACUAAUCCAGACACAUUAACCUGCCCAGAAACCAGUGUCAUGCAAACUCGUUCGGGUCCAAAUGCUUUCCGAGUUUCAAAGUUUUGCGAUCGUCUAAAUAUUUCAAAUUAAUGGUAACGAUAAACUUUGUCGGAUAGAAAAACUUUCAGUAUAGUAAUAGUCUGUAUCACCUGGCAAUCUGACUUCCUUGAAUAGCACAAACCGUCGUCAUUUUAUAUCCUUGCAUUAUGGAAAUUGUGCAAAACUCGGCAGGAUACGACCAGCACCGAGCUAUAUGACAAUUGGUAGUGGUCGAAAAAUGCAAGUGUUACUCCGGAGCUCCUAUUGAACCACUAAUAAUCUAAUCGUUGCACAAUUAUUUCGUGGUUAAUUUGUGUGGAAAUGAACCACUACGGCAGCCGAUACACGUCGUUCGCCUUUGCUAGUGGAGGGAUCGCUGGCAGAGGUGGUGCCCGAGGGGAACUGAGCAGUGGAAAUUUGAGCAGAAAGCUGAGUAGUCCGAUGGCAGAGUCGACACAGCUGGACAGCAGCGGUAUUCGGGGGAAUCUUUACGACAGUCCGGUACGACAGGUUGGAGUUGGGAAAAGAAGCCUACCUCUCCGUUGCAAAAUAGCAGGACAAAUUUUAGAAGCAGCUGAACGGCGUCCGGGUCCAGUAUGGAUCGAUUGAUUGAUCCUAAGAUUUACGCGGAUGUUCAGAGCCGAGGAUUGGUUAACCGGUUGGUAAAGUACCACGAUGAAACGCAAUCGCCGUUAAAUAAGAGUCAAUCGAUGACUAUCCUGUACUCGAAGCCGGGUCAAUUUCCUGUGUGGUGGAGGAGAAACAAUUCUUCGAUAGCUACCAUUGGUUCGGAUUUCCCCGUCAGAGAAGUCCGUGUUUCAGGCUGACACAAGGUGGAACAUUUUACGGGAGGGAUCGUUGCUCAUUCCGGCGGAAUCUCAUCUGAAGAUGGUCCAAACACAUAGACACGAGGAUGAGAUUGAUGCGGAAAAUAGUGUGAUUGCGCCUUCAACAGAACUGGAUGCCGAUUGGAUUAAGAAACAAUGUAAGGAGGUUGAUUCAGGCGAAGCUGGUACGAAGCAAGCUCGGGAAAUUACAUACACGGCUUCGCCCCCGUGUCGAGGUUCGGCGAAUCAGCAGCUGCAGACGAAGAAAUUAUGUAGUAAAAAUAAUAUCUCAAGUUCACUUAGCUCGAGCCUAGUGAUGAACACUCCGAAAGUGGAACACGUAGCGCACCGACCGGCACGAUUAAAUGUGGAUGUCUUUCUCGACGCCGGCAACAUUGAAUGCGACGGUUCCAGUUAGCAUGAUUGAAUCGAGCAAGCCGGCAAAAUUAAGUAGGAUUGAUUCCGCUCCUUUGCCACAGAUUACGAGAAUUUUUCCGGAGUUUCAACUGCCUCUAAUGAAAUAUCCGCCACUAAAACUAACAUUUAACAAGAAAUAUAACGUCCAUGACAUGACGAAACGGUGGUUCGACCCCCGUCCACAGACAGUGAAGGAUGAUGAUGAUAAAGUAGGCGGACGAAUCAGUUUCAUUAAGCCAAAGGAUAAAUCGCCUAUUAUGAGCAAUGCCAAGGUUGUCCUGAAGAGGUUCGAGCGCUCGAAAUCAUCGUUGAUUCUGAGCUGCUUGAGUGAUGAUUUUGAUGAAGACGAGGAAUCGCCUAUAGUUAGGCCAUCGCAGGGUUCAUUUUAUACGAUAGACACCACGGAUGCACCACCGAAGGUUGCAGAGAAGAAACGGCUUCCGUCCCGAUAAUGAGCGGUAUUUCAGCAAUAGUUAAUAGCCCGAUCAAGGAUCCUGGCCUAGGUAAAAUUGAUCCAUCGAAACCGGUGGAAAAUGUAAAAACGAUAGAGCAACCGAAGUAACCCACGGGAUUUGCUUUCGGAAGUACAACUGCUACCGUCAGCUAGGCUCCGGUUACAGCACAUCAAACCGAUACAUAAUUUGCAUUUGGGACGCCCACUUAACCGGUUACUGCUAAAAUCAAAUCAUCGGAAAUACCACGUAUCGUUUUCCUGUGCUUGGAUUUCGAUACGUACGGAAUCGGACGGCAUUUAUCGCCGAUACCAUUUUAUCGGGAAAUAAUGCGAUUCGAGGUAUUAAUCACACGCCUACAUCAAAAAAUUAUAUACUUUGCAACUAAUAUUUUAAAAAGCCUGACGCUAAUAAAAAUUUUGAAUCAAAAAAAUAUUGCUGUUUUUGUUUUUAUUUGAAAAAAAGAAAACCCAAACGUUUAAAAUAAGAAGAAGAAAACGAAAAUAAUGAGCACGACGAUCGCUCGAUUUUCUAUAGUUCUACAUCGGGCUCACGUCGGUCCGAUUACGUCGAUGCGUUUGGCAUAUUUGAAGGUUGACGCGGUUCAUGCAAAUGGUGCAAAAUUGCAG